ensembl:lncRNA
GGAAGCCGGAAUGUACAGUUUAAAUCUUUUUUUUUUUUCUUCUUUGCAUCUCUUGAGUUUCCCAACUAAAGUUUGCAGGCUUAUUUUUGAACGCGCCCACGGUAAACACUGUGUGCUUCGGGACCUUUUGCAUGGUGAGCCACACUGUUGCCAAUACACUUCACCAGUCAUCCGCUGCCAUGUAACUAGAAGGCAAUUUCUUCUCUAUUCUGACAUGAGAGCAGUGCACCGGUCUAUGUCAAUGAGGACCGAAACAGCAACAUUGGGCCCCAUUGACUUCCAUUGUAUUUAUAUGCUUUCAUCUUCCUCUGUAUGCCAAAGAAAAAAGUCUUACAGGUUUGGAACAACGUUGAGGGAAAUUGUCAGAACAUGAUGAAUGUGGAUCAUCAUGCUUUGCAGAAGGC